UACGUAUGGUGCAAGCGUUAUCCGGAUUUACUGGGCGUAAAGGGAGCGCAGGCGGCGCGCCAAGUCUGAUGUGAAACCCCGGGGCUCAACCCCGGGCAUGCAUUGGAAACUGGCGGGCUAGAGUGCCGGAGAGGUAAGCGGAAUUCCUAGUGUAGCGGUGAAAUGCGUAGAUAUUAGGAGGAACACCAGUGGCGAAGGCGGCUUACUGGACGGCAACUGACGCUGAGGCUCGAAAGCGUGGGGAGCAAACAGG
rnacentral:rRNA from 1 species